rnacentral:lncRNA from 1 species
CCGGCCACCUCCCCUCCCUGGCUUCCUGGGCUCCGUCGAAAGCGCAGGGGUUGUGACUGCGAGCUGUGUCAUCCCUCUCUGCCUGGCUGCCAUCCCCUGCCCGCCCAUCCGUCCUGGUGUGGCUCUGCUCAAGGUGCACUAUAGCUCUCUGUCAAGAUUGCUCUGAAUUUUGUUCUUCCAGUUUUGAGUGAGAAACAAACAGCAAAUCUCCUAGGCUACAUAUUGAAGAUGGCAGCAUCGCAAGAUGGAAGGACACUGGAUCCUUGAGUCAACAUUUAUAAGACAGACACCCAACUUGCCAUGGAUUGUGAUAUGAA